rnacentral:rRNA from 1 species
CAGCCAUUCCGCGUGCAGGACGAAGGCCUUCGGGUUGUAAACUGCUUUUGUACGGAACGAAAAAGCCUUGGUUAAUACCCAGGGUCCAUGACGGUACCGUAAGAAUAAGCACCGGCUAACUACGUGCCAGCAGCCGCGGUAAUACGUAGGGUGCAAGCGUUAAUCGGAAUUACUGGGCGUAAAGCGUGCGCAGGCGGUUAUAUAAGACAGAUGUGAAAUCCCCGAGCUUAACUUGGGAACUGCAUUUGUGACUGUAUAGCUAGAGUACGGCAGAGGGGGAUGGAAUUCCGCGUGUAGCAGUGAAAUGCGUAGAUAUGCGGAGGAACACCGAUGGCGAAGGCAAUCCCCUGGGCCUGUACUGACGCUCAUGCACGAAAGCGUGGGGAGCAAACAGGAUUAGAUACCCUGGUAGUCCACGCCCUAAACGAUGUCAACUGGUUGUUGGGUCUUCACUGACUCAGUAACGAAGCUAACGCGUGAAGUUGACCGCCUGGGGAGUACGGCCGCAAGGUUGAAACUCAAAGGAGUUGACGGGGACCCGCACAAGCGGUGGAUGAUGUGGUUUAAUUCGAUGCAACGCGAAAAACCUUACCCACCUUUGACAUGUACGGAAUUUGCCAGAGAUGGCUUAGUGCUCGAAAGAGAACCGUAACACAGGUGCUGCAUGG